CCCGAGCGUUCGCCGAGUUCUGCCAUGCGCUCCGGGACCCGUACACAGAACAUCCGCAUGGCAGAAGCGGGGGAACCACUUCCGGGCUCGUUGCAAUCCGACGGGUCCUUGGGGUCAAGCCAGCACGGCACCAAGGUGCGUGCGGCCGGAUGUCUCCCAUCCGAACCCGACAGCUCACCUCGUAGGCGCAGGGAGGAACA
rnacentral:sRNA from 1 species